GCUGAUUUGGUUUCCAAUUGUUUAAACUAGAGUCGGCCACCGCUUGGCAUGAAGGAAAUAAUAAUUCCCUUCUUAAAUUUGUCGCAUGUUUGGCUUCCAAUUGGACCGACUGCUCCUCCAUUGUUUGUUUAAUUCAUUGGGCCUGCUGUUUUUUUAUUGGACCGAAUUUUUGCUGCCAAUUAAAAUUCAAUUCCUUCAGCCAGCAUAUGAUCAACAUUCAGCAGCUUAAUCAUUCCAAUUUGAGCUCAUACGGAAAUCCAAAUGUCAUUCACCUGGACAUGACUUAAAAUUUUAACAUUAAAUAAUUGAAUUGGAGCUAAAAAAACAUUAUUACGGCAUGGGAUGUUCUUGCUGUAAUUUAAACUAAUUCGACAUUCAAUUUCUCAAAAUUUAAUCAAUAAUUUAAAUAAUUUAGUUGAAUAAGUUAAGCUCAAAAUUGAACUUAACAAACUCCCCCAUACUUAAGCCAUUGAUCGUCCCUGAGCAAUCAAGUUUAAAAAAAAAAUCAAGAAGAAUUUCAGAAAUAUCAUGACUAAUAAAGAGUUGUUGCAUCGCUCAUGCUUGGGAUGAAUUCUGAAAUCAACAGUCAAGAUUUUGGUUUACUCAAGAGAGGAAAAUAUAAAGGGAACUAAUCACGCGUCUUUGAUCAAUUCUCACCUGAAAAGAAUAGAAUUGUUAACACUCUUCACUCAUUGUGUUUAGGCUAGUAUAAUGCUCUCAAAUUGAAAUCAACCGUAAUUAACCCAUAGGCUUGCUUGUCCAUCUUACCUUAACAUAAAACAUAAAAUUUCAGAAAUAUAAUCGAGACCAAAUUAUGGUUGUAAUGGGGCUGAGGUAAUGUGCAGUGGACGGGAGGAAUUUAUUUGGAUGGUGGAGCUAAUU
rnacentral:lncRNA from 1 species